AUUGAACGCUGGCGGCAGGCCUAACACAUGCAAGUCGAACGGUAACAGGAAGAAGCUUGCUUCUUUGCUGACGAGUGGCGGACGGGUGAGUAAUGUCUGGGAAACUGCCUGAUGGAGGGGGAUAACUACUGGAAACGGUAGCUAAUACCGCAUAACGUCGCAAGACCAAAGAGGGGGACCUUCGGGCCUCUUGCCAUCGGAUGUGCCCAGAUGGGAUUAGCUAGUAGGUGGGGUAACGGCUCACCUAGGCGACGAUCCCUAGCUGGUCUGAGAGGAUGACCAGCCACACUGGAACUGAGACACGGUCCAGACUCCUACGGGAGGCAGCAGUGGGGAAUAUUGCACAAUGGGCGCAAGCCUGAUGCAGCCAUGCCGCGUGUAUGAAGAAGGCCUUCGGGUUGUAAAGUACUUUCAGCGGGGAGGAAGGGAGUAAAGUUAAUACCUUUGCUCAUUGACGUUACCCGCAGAAAAAGCACCGGCUAACUCCGUG
rnacentral:rRNA from 1 species